rnacentral:rRNA from 1 species
AGUGAACGCUGGCGGUAGGCCUAACACAUGCAAGUCGAACGGCAGCACAGUAAGAGCUUGCUCUUACGGGUGGCGAGUGGCGGACGGGUGAGGAAUACAUCGGAAUCUACUUUUUCGUGGGGGAUAACGUAGGGAAACUUACGCUAAUACCGCAUACGACCUACGGGUGAAAGCAGGGGAUCUUCGGACCUUGCGCGAUUGAAUGAGCCGAUGUCGGAUUAGCUAGUUGGCGGAGUAAAGGCCCACCAAGGCGACGAUCCGUAGCUGGUCUGAGAGGAUGAUCAGCCACACUGGAACUGAGACACGGUCCAGACUCCUACGGGAGGCCGCAGUGGGGAAUAUUGGACAAUGGGCGCAAGCCUGAUCCAGCCAUACCGCGUGGGUGAAGAAGGCCUUCGGGUUGUAAAGCCCUUUUGUUGGGAAAGAAAAGCAGCAGGUUAAUACCCCGCUGUUCUGACGGUACCCAAAGAAUAAGCACCGGCUAACUUCGUG